rnacentral:rRNA from 1 species
GACGAACGCUGGCGGCGUGCUUAACACAUGCAAGUCGAACGGAAAGGCCCUGCUUUUGUUGGCUGCUCGAGUGGCGAACGGGUGUGUAACACGUGAGUAACCUGCCCUUGACUUUGUGAUAACUUCAGGAAACUGGGGCUAAUACCUGAUCGGAGCUCCUGCUGCAUGGUGGUGGUUGGAAAGUUUCGGCUGUUGGGGAUGGACUCGCGGCUUAUCAGCUUGUUGGUUGGGUAGUGGCUUACCAAGGCUUUGACGGGUAGCCUGCCUGAGAGGGUGAACGGCGACAAUGGGACUGAGAUACGGACCAGACGCGUACGGGAGGCAGCAGGGGGGAAUAUUGCACAAUGGGCGGAAGCCUGAUGCAGAAACGCCGGGUGCGGGAUGAAGGCCUUCGAGUUGAAAACCGCUUUCGCCUGUGACGAAGCGUGAGUGACGGUAAUGGGUAAAGAAGCACCGGCUAACUACGUG